rnacentral:rRNA from 1 species
GGGGAAUUUUGGACAAUGGGCGCAAGCCUGAUCCAGCAAUGCCGCGUGCAGGAUGAAGGCCUUCGGGUUGUAAACUGCUUUUGUACGGAGCGAAAAGGUCUGCCCUAAUACGGUGGGCUCAUGACGGUACCGUCAGAAUAAGCACCGGCUAACUACGUGCCAGCAGCCGCGGUAAUACGUAGGGUGCGAGCGUUAAUCGGAAUUACUGGGCGUAAAGCGUGCGCAGGCGGUUAUAUAAGACAGAUGUGAAAUCCCCGGGCUCAACCUGGGACCUGCAUUUGUGACUGAAUAGCUAGAGUACGGUAGAGGUAGAUGGAAUUCCUCGUGUAGCAGUGAAAUGCGUAGAUAUGCGGAGGAACACCGAUGGCGAAGGCAAUCCCCUGGACCUGAACUGACGCUCAUGCGCGAAAGCGUGGGGAGCAAACA